rnacentral:lncRNA from 1 species
AGGUUUUUUUAUUAUCUCCCUUAGUCUAAAGACCAGCUCUAGGUGACUGCUUCUCCUUCUGUGAGACUGCAACAUCAUGACUGCAGCCAGUCAUCCUGGCAUUCCUGUGCUCCAAAGAAAAUUUGAAAUCUUUUGAAAGAUGCCUGAUGAUAAGCCUGACAGGAGCCAGCGUGUUGAGUCUAUAGAGCAAGGCAAAGAGGUCAAGUGCUUCCACCACCAGGGAAAAUCAUCUUGGGGAUAAUAUUACUUCCCUAUCACUGAGUUAAC